rnacentral:rRNA from 1 species
UACGUAGGGGGCUGGCGUUGUCCGGAAUCAUUGGGCGUAAAGCGCGUGUAGGCGGCCCGGUAAGUCCGCUGUGAAAGUCGGGGGCUCAACCCUCGGAUGCCGGUGGAGUACUGUCGGGCUCGAGUACGGAAGAGGCGAGUGGAAUUCCGUGGUGUAGCGGUGAAAUGCGCAGAUAUCAGGAGGAACACCAAUUGCGAAGGCAGCUCCGCUGGACGUAACUGCGCUGAGACGCGAAAGCGUGGGGAGCAAACAGG